rnacentral:rRNA from 1 species
GUGCACCAGGCGCGAAACCUCCGCAAUACACGAAAGUGUGACGGGGCCAUCCCGAGUGCCGUCCGCUGAGGACGGCUUUUCCCCAGUGUACAUAGCUGGGGGAAUAAGGAGAGGGCAAGCCUGGUGUCAGCCGCCGCGGUAAUACCAGCUCUCCGAGUGGGUGGGGACGCUUAUUGGGCCUAAAGCAUCCGUAGCCAGCUAGGCAAGUCCUACCGUUAAAUCCAACGAUUCAAUC